rnacentral:rRNA from 1 species
UACGAAGGGGGCUAGCGUUGCUCGGAAUCACUGGGCGUAAAGGGCGCGUAGGCGGACAUUUAAGUCAGGGGUGAAAUCCCGGGGCUCAACCUCGGAAUUGCCUUUGAUACUGGGUGUCUUGAGACCGGAAGAGGUAAGUGGAACUGCGAGUGUAGAGGUGAAAUUCGUAGAUAUUCGCAAGAACACCAGUGGCGAAGGCGGCUUACUGGUCCGGUUCUGACGCUGAGGCGCGAAAGCGUGGGGAGCAAACAGG